ensembl:lncRNA novel transcript, antisense to ZFAND2B
UACAGGCAUGAGCCACCGCGCCUGGCCACAAUCUGCUAAAUACCAACUGGAGUUGUCAGGUCUUAGAUGCAGCAACUAGUUCAAAGUGAGAAGGACCGAAUACAGUGGCUUUCCAAGUUUUUCAGCUUUGACCUACGUAAAACAAUAAGGAGAACAGAAGCGAAAACAAUACAUGAAGAUAUGACAAAAACAUUUUGGGAGCUAAACAUCUGAUGGAAGAAGGAAAACUGACUAGGGUCCGAGGAAGUUGAAACGGUGGGAACAACAAGCGGCAGGCCAGUGUUGACUUCGUUGCCGCUGAAAGGCUUGGGACUGGGAGCAUCAAGCUUUCCAAAGGUAGGGGUGGAAGGAGGGGGCUGGAAAUGAAGGGUGAGUUUAAACUCGACAUAAGGAGCAGUUAGACCCUCAUGUUCCCUCCUCCAGCCUGGGCAGCUGGGUGACUGCCCCUCUCCCACUGCCCCCCCAGAAAAGGCAGGAGGUAUCUGGGUUCUCUGGAGAGAAUGAAGCAAUGGGUCCCUGGGCUUCAGGUUGUCAGCCAGCUGAGGGUGAAGAGGGAGAGAAACUGCAGCUAUUUUCUCCUGACUCUAGAGCACUAGCAGCCAGGUUCAUGGUCCCCAGGCCAGAGGCUGCAGGGUUCUUCUCUGGAAGAACCGAGCAGCCUAAAAAUUCUCUGGGCAUUGAGGGAUCUCAACACAAUGGUUGUCUCUGCCACCUCACCCUGCAGGGAAGAUGCAAAUCUUCGAAUUUUAGAGAGCAUUCAGUUGGCCUUUAAGUGCCUCUGCUCAGAUAUGAAGGAGCAAACCAGGGUUUGAGGGAAGUCUCUUCCAUGAAAGACAGAAGCCAAAAUAAAGACAUAAAUGGUGGUGAGGAGGAAAACAAGUACAAUGCAGGGAAUGUAAAAAUAUAAUUUAUAUAACUAGACUACUAAUAAUAUAAUAAUAUAACUUAUUAAGAAUGCUCAGGGCUGGGGGCAGUGGCUCACGCCUGUA